rnacentral:rRNA from 1 species
UACGAAGGGGGCUAGCGUUGCUCGGAAUCACUGGGCGUAAAGCGCACGUAGGCGGAUUGCUAAGUCAGGGGUGAAAUCCUGGAGCUCAACUCCAGAACUGCCUUUGAUACUGGCGAUCUCGGACGGUCCGGAGAGGUGAGUGGAACUGCGAGUGUAGAGGUGAAAUUCGUAGAUAUUCGCAAGAACACCAGUGGCGAAGGCGGCUCACUGGCCCGGUACUGACGCUGAGGUGCGAAAGCGUGGGGAGCAAACAGG